rnacentral:rRNA from 1 species
AUGUGGACAGAUGAGUUCAAGGUUUCUGUUUAUAGCGCUUCUUUCCAUGCUAUCCUAGCGAAUGUAGUUCAUGUAGCUUCAGGUGUAGAGUUUUGUUUGGUCUGUAUAUAUGGUGAUCCUUAUCAUCGCCAGACUACUGUCAUAUGGAAUCAGGUGGCCACUUUUGUGUAUGAUAACCUAGGCAAGCCGAUGAUCUGUAUGGGUGACAUGAAUGAUAUCCUGUAUGAUAUAGAUAAAUGCAAUGCUAGUGUGAAUUAUUAUCAGUUGUCUUCCUUU